rnacentral:ncRNA from 1 species
AAAAAAUUUUUAUAGUUUUAAUAUUUUAUUUUAAAUAUAAUUUACAUACAAAUUUUAGUGUUAAAUUUUGUUUAUUUUAAUAAUAAAAAAUAUUAUAAGGUAGUAAUUAACUUUAAAUUAUUUAAGAAAUUAAGAUUUAAUGAUUUAGAAAUAAAUAACUAAUUUUGUGCCAGCAGUUGCGGUUAUACAAAAAUUUAAUUAAAAUUUUUCAGUAUAUAUUAAAUAAAUUUAAAUUUAAAUUAAAAAUUAAAUUAUUAAGUGAAAUUUUAAUUUAAUAAAAAUUUAAAAAAUUGUAUGAAUUAAUAAAUUUAUAUAAAAACUAGGAUUAGAUACCCUAUUAUUAAAAUAAAUAAAAUUUAUACUAAAAUAGUAAAUAAUAGUUUAUUGAAACUUAAAUAAUUUGGCGGUAUUUUAGUUCAUUUAGAGGAAUCUGUCUAAUAAUUGAUAAUCCACGAUUAAAUUUACUUAAUUUAAAAUUUUAUAUAUCGUUGUUAAAAAAAUAUUUUAAGAUAAAAAUAAUAUUUAAAAAUUAUAAUUAAAAAUUAAUUCAGAUCAAGAUGUAGAUUAUAAUUAAGAAUAUGAUGGAUUACAAUAAAUUUAUUUAAAUGAAUUUUUUUUUAUUAUAAAAUAGAAAUGAAAUUGGAUUUAAAUGUAAUUUUAUUUAAUAUAAUAAAAUGAUUUUAAAUUGAAAUAUGUACAUAUUGCCCGUCGCUUUCAUUUUAAAAUUGGAAUAAGUCGUAACAAAGUAGAAGUACUGGAAAGUGUUUCUAGAAU